UCCAUUCUUUGCAAGUCCACAAUACACCUAUUAAAGGCGCUCACGUGCUCCAUCAUAGUUUGUAAUCAUACUUCAGAUACAUUUUAAAGAGAGCAGCAUGCAGAAAUGUGAAAUUAUGCUGAAUGAUCUUAUUGAUUCUAAGAGGACUAACGGCAAUAUUAAAGCAACCAUAACUCAGACAUCUCAAGCAGCAUUUUCCUCGCCCACUGUUUCUUUCACCGAAGUUAUAAGUCAAUUGGUGAUAUAUUCUCUGCAUGAGUAAACUUAUGUUUGACUCAUUCUAAAUUGACUAGCAAGAAAAGUCUUGGUACAGUCAAGUUGGAGUUGCAAUUUGAAGAUAGAGCAGUGCAAUUUGUGGUAUCUCCAGUGCAUGCAGCAAUUAUAAUGCAAUUUCAAAAUCAGACAAGCCGGACCUCUAAGAAUCUUGCAGCUGCAAUUGGGGUUCCAACAGACAUAUUUAAUCGCAGGAUAAAUUUCUGG